GCGGCGUGCCUAUACAUGCAAGUCGAGCGAACAGAUAAGGAGCUUGCUCCUUUGACGUUAGCGGCGGACGGGUGAGUAACACGUGGGUAACCUACCUAUAAGACUGGGAUAACUUCGGGAAACCGGAGCUAAUACCGGAUAACAUUUGGAACCGCAUGGUUCUAAAGUGAAAGAUGGUUUUGCUAUCACUUAUAGAUGGACCCGCGCCGUAUUAGCUAGUUGGUAAGGUAACGGCUUACCAAGGCGACGAUACGUAGCCGACCUGAGAGGGUGAUCGGCCACACUGGAACUGAGACACGGUCCAGACUCCUACGGGAGGCAGCAGUAGGGAAUCUUCCGCAAUGGGCGAAAGCCUGACGGAGCAACGCCGCGUGAGUGAUGAAGGGUUUCGGCUCGUAAAACUCUGUUAUUAGGGAAGAACAAAUGUGUAAGUAACUGUGCACGUCUUGACGGUACCUAAUCAGAAAGCCACGGCUAACUACGUGCCAGCAGCCGCGGUAAUACGUAGGUGGCAAGCGUUAUCCGGAAUUAUUGGGCGUAAAGCGCGCGUAGGCGGUUUCUUAAGUCUGAUGUGAAAGCCCACGGCUCAACCGUGGAGGGUCAUUGGAAACUGGGAAACUUGAGUGCAGAAGAGGAAAGUGGAAUUCCAUGUGUAGCGGUGAAAUGCGCAGAGAUAUGGAGGAACACCAGUGGCGAAGGCGACUUUCUGGUCUGUAACUGACGCUGAUGUGCGAAAGCGUGGGGAUCAAACAGGAUUAGAUACCCUGGUAGUCCACGCCGUAAACGAUGAGUGCUAAGUGUUAGGGGGUUUCCGCCCCUUAGUGCUGCAGCUAACGCAUUAAGCACUCCGCCUGGGGAGUACGACCGCAAGGUUGAAACUCAAAGGAAUUGACGGGGACCCGCACAAGCGGUGGAGCAUGUGGUUUAAUUCGAAGCAACGCGAAGAACCUUACCAAAUCUUGACAUCCUUUGAAAACUCUAGAGAUAGAGCCUUCCCCUUCGGGGGACAAAGUGACAGGUGGUGCAUGGUUGUCGUCAGCUCGUGUCGUGAGAUGUUGGGUUAAGUCCCGCAACGAGCGCAACCCUUAAGCUUAGUUGCCAUCAUUAAGUUGGGCACUCUAGGUUGACUGCCGGUGACAAACCGGAGGAAGGUGGGGAUGACGUCAAAUCAUCAUGCCCCUUAUGAUUUGGGCUACACACGUGCUACAAUGGACAAUACAAAGGGCAGCUAAACCGCGAGGUCAUGCAAAUCCCAUAAAGUUGUUCUCAGUUCGGAUUGUAGUCUGCAACUCGACUACAUGAAGCUGGAAUCGCUAGUAAUCGUAGAUCAGCAUGCUACGGUGAAUACGUUCCCGGGUCUUGUACACACCGCCCGUCACACCACGAGAGUUUGUAACACCCGAAGCCGGUGGAGUAACCAUUUAUGGAGCUAGCCGUCGAAGGUGGACA
rnacentral:rRNA from 1 species